rnacentral:lncRNA from 1 species
CCGUGAUUGUUAGUCUUUCUGCGGCUCUUAUCUAGCAACCCGACUCCUUCAUCAUCGGGUGAUAUAAUUGAUUUGGUAUGUUAAAUCGUAAAAUCUUAUAUUCUCCGUAUUAGAAAUAGUAGCCUUGUCAAUUGCAAAUUAUUAUAGUUUUCGGGACUUGUCUAAUUCUUCUGGCAGACCAAAUUAAAUAUGUGGAAUGUAAUAGUUAAAAAAUUGUGACAUCAAAAAUAUUAGAUGAUUUUAUUU